rnacentral:rRNA from 1 species
CACGUAGUUGGCCGGGCUUCUUCUGUAGGUACCGUCAUUUUCUUCCCUACUGAAAGCGGUUUACAACCCGAAGGCCUUCAUCCCGCACGCGGCGUUGCUGCAUCAGGCUUUCGCCCAUUGUGCAAUAUUCCCU